UGAGGAAUAUUGGACAAUGGGCGGAAGCCUGAUCCAGCCAUGCCGCGUGCAGGAAGACGGCCCUAUGGGUUGUAAACUGCUUUUGUACGGGAAGAAUAAGGCCCUCGUGAGGGCCGAUGACGGUACCGUAAGAAUAAGCACCGGCUAACUCCGUGCCAGCAGCCGCGGUAAUACGGAGGGUGCGAGCGUUAUCCGGAAUCAUUGGGUUUAAAGGGUCCGCAGGCGGGCGCAUAAGUCAGUGGUGAAAGUCUGCAGCUCAACUGUAGAACUGCCAUUGAUACUGUGCGCCUUGAAUUAUUGUGAAGUGGUUAGAAUAAGUAGUGUAGCGGUGAAAUGCUUAGAUAUUACUUAGAAUACCGAUUGCGAAGGCAGAUCACUAACAAUAUAUUGACGCUGAUGGACGAAAGCGUAGGUAGCGAACGGGAUUAGAUACCCCCGUAGUCC
rnacentral:rRNA from 1 species